AACGAACGCUGGCGGCAGGCUUAACACAUGCAAGUCGAACGCUCCGCAAGGAGAGUGGCAGACGGGUGAGUAACACGUGGGAACGUACCCUUUACUACGGAACAACUCCGGGAAACUAGAAUUAAUACCGUAUACGCCCUACGGGGGAAAGAUUUAUCGGGGAAGGAUUGGCCCGCGUUGGAUUAGCUAGUUGGUGGGGUAAAGGCCUACCAAGGCGACGAUCCAUAGCUGGUCUGAGAGGAUGAUCAGCCACAUUGGGACUGAGACACGGCCCAAACUCCUACGGGAGGCAGCGGUGGGGAAUAUUGGACAAUGGGCGCGAGCCUGAUCCAGCCAUGCCGCGUGAGUGAUGAAGGCCUUAGGGUUGUAAAGCUCUUUCACCGAUGAAGAUAAUGACGGUAGUCGGAGAAGAAGCCCCGGCUAACUUCGUGCCAGCCGCCGCCGUAAAAC
rnacentral:rRNA from 1 species